rnacentral:rRNA from 1 species
AUCGAACGCUGGCGGCAGGCUUAACACAUGCAAGUCGAGCGGUAACAGAGAGAAGCUUGCUUCUCUGCUGACGAGCGGCGGACGGGUGAGUAAUGCCUAGGAAUCUGCCUAGUAGUGGGGGAUAACUUGCCGAAAGGUAAGCUAAUACCGCAUACGUCCUACGGGAGAAAGGAGGGGACCUUCGGGCCUUUCGCUAUUAGGUGAGCCUAGGUCGGAUUAGUUAGUUGGUGAGGUAAUGGCCCACCAAGACCGCGAUCCGUAACUGGUCUGAGAGGAUGAUCAGUCACACUGGAACUGAGACACGGUCCAGACUCCUACGGGAGGCAGCAGUGGGGAAUAUUGGACAAUGGGGGGAACCCUGAUCCAGCCAUGCCGCGUGUGUGAAGAAGGUCUUAGGAUUGUAAAGCACUUUAAGUUGGGAGGAAGAGCAGUUAACUAAUAUUUGACUGUUUUGACGUUACCGACAGAAUAAGCACCGGCUAACUUCGUGCCAGCCGCCGCAGUAA